rnacentral:lncRNA from 1 species
GGGAAGUGUAGAUCUUCUCAGUGAAAUUAAUGAAGGAACUUUUUCCCCAAGACAGGGAAAGAAGCACCACAGGGAAGAAGCAACUAAUAAAAACAAAGGAAAUCAAAAACCCCAGGGAAAGGAAAAUAAUAGUUGCAAGUGGUAGAAACCAAAUCUGUUUUUAAGAAGAAAAGUUAUUAUGUGGUUCAUAACAUUUUGGAGCAUCGGCUUGACUUUGGAAUCUGACUUGACUGGAACUGCACCUGCUGCCCUCAUUGAUGCGAAACUUCAUUCGGGAAACUGACUUUCUGACCAGUUGACCUGCUAAAGCUUGGGUACCUUGAAGGCCAAAUGGUUCUGUGGCAGGUGUGGGGGGGGGGGGGGGGGGGGGGGGUGGUGGGGAGCUUUGUAUACAUCUUUCUCAGAUCUAAAUCAAAAUCUCUCUGAAAUGAGUCUCAUCAGUGUAGCUCAGGGAACACACCUGUGCCCUAAUAACAAAAGGGACUGGGGUGGCAAAUUUUCUUGGUCCUAUUUUAGCAAAGAGGGAUACAUAAGGGUGAAGAUUUCCUGAGGAGUCAAAAAGAGAUCAAAGAUGCUGGGCUGGCAGCUAACAUGACACAUGUUCACUACUUAUUCACUGAUUUUGUAACUCUGGGUUAGGUGCCCCCAAUGCAUUAUACUUUCCAUCCUGGCAUCUUACCUCCACCUCCAUAUUGAAAUCAGCUUUUUAUUAUUUUAUAACUUUCCCCAGACUGCCUAUAAGAGAAAGGACUCAAUUUGUUGUCAGUUUCUUUUUAUUCACAAUUACAUUCCCAGUCCCUAGCUUAUAUUGUUGUG